UCAUCGAACCGCCACCUAAACUACCUGGCAGCGUCUGCCCUGCCCCGAAGGCGCCAAGUACCUUCAUGAUCAACAUGAC
rnacentral:rRNA from 1 species